rnacentral:rRNA from 1 species
UACGUAGGGUGCGAGCGUUAAUCGGAAUUACUGGGCGUAAAGUGUGCGCAGGCGGCCGCGCAAGUCGAGUGUGAAAGCCCCGAGCUUAACUUGGGAAUUGCGCUCGAAACUACGUGGCUGGAGUGUGGCAGAGGAAGGUGGAAUUCCACGUGUAGCGGUGAAAUGCGUAGAGAUGUGGAGGAACACCAAUGGCGAAGGCAGCCUUCUGGGCCGAACACUGACGCUCAUGCACGAAAGCGUGGGGAGCGAACAGG